GACAGGAUGCAUUAAGACUACAGCUUGAGAAUUCAAAUACUUUGCUGACAGGCCAAGACCAUGGAUUCUAAGGAACUUUGACAACAAGAUAAUUCCAGAUGCCCAGGUGGAGAAGUGCCUGAGAGAGGUGAGCAGGUCAUUGUGCUAUCAUUAAUCACUUGCAGACAGCAGGCCCUAUAGUUCUUCCAACCCUGCCCUGUGUUGCCCUGCCAUGAUCUACAGCAUCUCACUGAAACAAGCUGUGAUCUGCCUUUCCCAAGAGUGAAAGCACAAUGCAAGGGAUUAAAUGCCAGUGUUAACAAUCAAACUCAGUAAGGAGAAUGACGCACAAGACAAGGGAGACAGCGACCUUCAAGGUUUCAAAGGUGCUGGCAAAGCCUCAUGGAGGAUUGAAAAGCAUGAAGCCAGGACCAUGCCACCUGAUGGAUGACCUCACUGCUGCUGCUUCUACAUCCACAAUAAGUCUGAGUUUCCUUGACAGCUGAGUAGUAAUGAGGACUACACAAGUGAAGCUUUGAGAUCUGUGCUUGGUGGGUUACUGUUUCCGCAUCAUAUGUGAACUCCACAUAUUGUUUUCAACUCAGGAAAACCCAACUUCCAGGACUUAAAGUUACCUAGGAAAACAGAACAGUCUGUGUGUUAACCCCAGACUCCCUGGACUCACCUCCUGGUCCUUCUUAGGACCUGUCUGUGGCCAGCACUGGAAUGACAGGGAAUCCUGGAGCAUAUUUUGGAGAUGACUUUACAGAUGUGGUGUCAGGUUUACCUAAUGCUUUUAUAAAAGGUGACUCAACAUUUGCCUUAUGACCAAAAUAAAGUAAUCAUGACUUGUAUUCUAA